AUGGCUGUUAAUUUCUUCGAGCCAAUGGCUAAUGUGCUUCGCAGAAUGGACAGUGAUGUUCCUGCAAUGGGAUUCUUCCAUGGAUUAAUGCUUGAUGCAAAGAAACAUAUUGCUGUGAGGUUUGACAAUGAUGGGAGCAAGUACAAAGUUGCUUGGGACAUCAUUGAUAAAAGAGCUGCUGUUAUUACAUGCAUUUGCAAGAUGAUUGAGGACGAAGAAACCCAAGACACUGUAAUUGAAGAACUCAACAUGUAUCAAGAUCAGCAAGGAUCUUUCGGCCAUGAGAUUGCUAUAAGGCAAAGGAGAAACAAGAAUUUUAAUCCAGCAAAAUGGUGGCUGAACCAUGGCACCAGCACACCAAAGUUGAGAACUUUGGCAUCUAGGAUUCUUAAUUUGACAUGUAGCUCAUCAGCUUGUGAGAGGAACUGGUCAGCUUUCGAAGAGGUUCAUACAAAGAAGCGCAAUAGGCUGCUGCAUGGCAGGAUGAGGGAUCUUGUGUUUGUGAAAUUCAACUCUAAACUAAGGAACAAGAGAGAGAACAAAAACAGAGAUCCCAUAGAGAAAGAAGUAGAUGAUGUUCUUGCUGAUUAUGAAAAUGAGUUCAUCACUGGGAAAGAACCAACUGCAGAAGCUGAUGAAGAACAAGAGAAAGCUCAUGAAGAUGCAUCGGAAGAGGCACCAAACAGGGCAUCAUCAUCACAGGGACAAGCCAAAAGGAAGAGGAGUUCUCGGCCUAGGAAGAAAAUCAAGACCGUGAGCCUGCAGUCCUUGAUGGCUAUGCGUGUUGAAACAAUGCCGCAAGCUGCUUCUUCUUCUGAAUCGGAGUCUGAUAAGUCUCCUUCAAAUUCUGGAGAAGAAUAG
rnacentral:rRNA from 1 species